UUAACAAGGCGUGUGUGUGUAUAUCUAACGUAUGUGUGUCAUAAUGUGUACACAUCCUGUUGUGCACUGCAGACUGAUUCUGAUCAUGUCAAUCAAACACACAUACACAGACAGAGCACCUGUAAUCUAGCAGGCAUAUUGAUAGUGUUUGGAAAAUGUUGAAUGCACAAAUCACAUGUUGUUAUGGAGGUGUGCAUGGUACCGAUGUAGCAACAUGAAAUCAGGUGGAAAGAUCUAACAAAAAGUGUGUGUGGUAUGUGUGUGUCUGUUUGUUAAGAGGCGAGAAGGGAGAGAGACAGGGGUGUGUGAAGGGAAGAGAGAAAGAGACAGAGAGAAGAGUUGUGUGGCUAUACUUUAGGAUAAUACAUUUUGUUUGUGAUCGUAUAGGAGGACAAACACACUUGGACGUGGACAAACGCUGCUUUUUUUAACGCAACUGUUUUGCGUGAGGACCCAGUGGACCGCACACAGACUGCUCUCCAGAGUCAAGGUGGACGACUCCGUGAGAAGGAACAUCCGCCCUCCACACGUCCUGAGCACGAUGAUGAAAUUCUAGCCGCCUUCAGAGGUGCUGCCCCUCAGCCGACCCUGAUCUCUGACCCCUGUAGACUAGAAGAGAGAAAAGCGAUAUUUCCUGUUAAGGAUUAAUAAAUAAGUAUGAUUACUGAUAACGACUGUUAAACAUAUGAUAUUACAAACUGCAUCCAUCUAUAUAUACUGUAAAUAUAUAGUCUGUGAUUUAAAAUAAAUAUAUGUUGUGUUUUUUUUUUGCCAAACAUGUUGUUUGCGACUACAUUUAAUGAAUAAAUUACACACAGCCCGUAAUAAAACUGAUAAAGCUUCUUUGAUUAACAACAAAACAUCUUUAAAUUAUGAAUAACAUAUUAUCUAAAUUUACUUUCUAAUUCAUUUAUAUUGACUCGCUGCAAAAUAUUUUGUAAUAACAGACUUUUAGGUGGAUUUUUUAUUAUGAUAUUCAUCGACAGAAUCAGGUUGGUUCAGGCAGUGGCCUAUACCUCUCUGAUAUUUUACAGUCCACAGUCAGCAAGGCCUCAAAAUUCACUUCUGUAAAAUAACUACAGUCCAAACAGACAAAAAACUCACCGUCUAGAUUCUCACACGUAUGUUCAUAUCACCAAGGCUUUUGUUCUUUAUAUCUUUUCCUUGUUGUGCACUUUGAUUAUAAUGUAGUCAUAGACAUCCGUAUCCGCCCUGUCAUGUCACCUCGAAUAUGUCGCAGUCUGUGUCCUGUCUUGUCUCACCUAUUUUGUGUCUCCUCGCUUAAUAAAAAACCAUGAUUCAAUCAGA